CACAUAUAUAUUCUAUAAUAUAGAAGAGCCUUGGAAGCAGGUGAUGGUCGUCAUGCCUGCUUCCAAGGGCAAUUUAGUCUUUUUGCUAGAAGUGUUGUCUCAUCCAAAAUACGCAGUCCCUCUUAACAACACGUAUGAUUUUUCCUUCUUUUCUUUUCCAUAUCCAUUUACUUUGCUUAUCUCCAAAAACUGCAACUGGGUUUUGGUUAGCUAUAUUUAAGCUUCAGUUUACUCUAUUCAAGCUAAUUCUGUCGUUCAGAUAAAACCACAACUGAAAAAACUAAAUCAAUCAAAGUCAGCGGCUUUUCAAAAUCCUCUGAUAUGUCCUCCACUCAUGCCGUGGAGCCUAUCUAUAGUAAAGGAAAAACUAUUGUGGAGUAUUUCACCGUGUUUGAAGUUGGUUCAACAUCUGCUACGCCUCAUCAACAAUACGAUUCACGCGCAUUAGCUAUUGCAGACAAAGGUCAACAUCCACUGCACCUCCUCAACAACCAGACAUAGAGAUAUUGGCUGCCACAAACAUAGGUUUGUCUUCUCUCCAAUCUUCUACCAACAUUUACUGUUGAUUGCUUUCUACCACUAAUGGUGUACGUUACUGCAACUAAUAUACACAGGUUCUAAAUCAACAAGAACCAACUGAAACUUUAAACAAUUGC